UGGGGAAUUUUGGACAAUGGGGGCAACCCUGAUCCAGCCAUCCCGCGUGUGCGAUGAAGGCCUUCGGGUUGUAAAGCACUUUUGGCAGGGAAGAAACAGCCUGGGCUAAUAUCCCGGGCGACUGACGGUACCUGCAGAAUAAGCACCGGCUAACUACGUGCCAGCAGCAGCGGUAAUACGUAGGGUGCAAGCGUUAAUCGGAAUUACUGGGCGUAAAGCGUGCGCAGGCGGUUCGGAAAGAAAGGUGUGAAAUCCCAGGGCUUAACCUUGGAACUGCACUUUUAACUACCGGGCUAGAGUACGUCAGAGGGGGGUAGAAUUCCACGUGUAGCAGUGAAAUGCGUAGAGAUGUGGAGGAAUACCGAUGGCGAAGGCAGCCCCCUGGGAUGAUACUGACGCUCAUGCACGAAAGCGUGGGGAGCAAACA
rnacentral:rRNA from 1 species